GACGAACGCUGGCGGCGUGCUUAACACAUGCAAGUCGAACGGAAAGGCCCUGCUUUUGUGGGGUGCUCGAGUGGCGAACGGGUGAGUAACACGUGAGUAACCUGCCCUUGACUUUGGGAUAACUUCAGGAAACUGGGGCUAAUACCGGAUAGGAGCUCCUGCUGCAUGGUGGGGGUUGGAAAGUUUCGGCGGUUGGGGAUGGACUCGCGGCUUAUCAGCUUGUUGGUGGGGUAGUGGCUUACCAAGGCUUUGACGGGUAGCCGGCCUGAGAGGGUGACCGGCCACAUUGGGACUGAGAUACGGCCCAGACGCCUACGGGAGGCAGCAGGGGGGAAUAUGGCACAAUGGGCGGAAGCCUGAUGCAGCAACGCCGCGUGCGGGAUGACGGCCUUCGGGUUGUAAACCGCUUUCGCCUGCGACGAAGCGUGAGUGACGGUAAUGGGUAAAGAAGCACCGGCUAACUACGUG
rnacentral:rRNA from 1 species